rnacentral:rRNA from 1 species
UACGUAGGGCGCGAGCGUUGUCCGGAAUCAUUGGGCGUAAAGAGCUCGUAGGCGGCCUGUCGCGUCUGCUGUGAAAUCCCGGGGCUCAACCCCGGGCGUGCAGUGGAUACGGGCUGGCUGGAGGCAGGCAGGGGAGAACGGAAUUCCCGGUGUAGCGGUGAAAUGCGCAGAUAUCGGGAGGAACACCGGUGGCGAAGGCGGCUUCUUGGACCGACACUGACGCUGAGGCGCGAAAGCUAGGGGAGCAAACGGG